rnacentral:rRNA from 1 species
UUAUUUGAGAGUUUGAUCCUGGCUCAGGAUGAACGCUGGCGGCGUGCCUAACACAUGCAAGUUGAGCGAUUUACUUCGGUAAAGAGCGGCGGACGGGUGAGUAACGCGUGGGUAACCUACCCUGUACACACGGAUAACAUACCGAAAGGUAUGCUAAUACGGGAUAACAUAUUUGAGAGGCAUCUCUUAAAUAUCAAAGGUGAGCCAGUACAGGAUGGACCCGCGUCUGAUUAGCUAGUUGGUAAGGUAACGGCUUACCAAGGCGACGAUCAGUAGCCGACCUGAGAGGGUGAUCGGCCACAUUGGAACUGAGACA